rnacentral:misc_RNA from 1 species
UGUGGGAGCGAGCCUGCUCGCGAUAGCGUCGGAUCAGUUGGCAUAGAUGUUGGCUGAUACUCCGCUAUCGCGAGCAGGCUCGCUCCCACA